UCGGAUUCAGAAGUCGAGAAGACGUUGGAACGGUUGGGCUUGAAAGACGGCAUGGAAGCGGCAGUGGACGGAGCCUUUGCGUGCGCCCAAUUCGCGGCGUCCGAAUGCUCAUGGAGUGUGGCUUCACGCUCGUGCCCGGUAGUCCCCCGCUUCAACGGCUGUCCAAUCGGAGCCAGGAACUCUCCAGUCACGUCCGCGCUAUACGCCUUCAUAGGAGUGGGAGGGAAUGUUUAAUGUUGGUAUGUCCAGCACAUUGACAGCUUCAAUUCGAGAAUGUACAUCAAAUAUGGCUUUUGGCAAAAAUAAAAGUAACGAGAAAGCUGACCGUGCAACCGUGGAGCAGAUCGACUUCUGGACAAUGAUGAGAAGUUGACAAGGAACACAACAAGAAAGAUAAAACCAAGGUUACCAAAAGAGCCUCAACAUCUACAGAAUAAGGUGAAUCAGAGACGACCAUCUGAUGAUUCCGAAUCAUCAAGGGGACUUCUGCUGGAUUGCCUAUUCAGCCAGCCUCCAUCUUUCCAGCACAUUUUGCAAUUGCAGAGUUGGAUGCUAUUCGAUCCGUUCUUAAAGAGAGGGAGAGCAUCAUUGAGAGGCUGCAGAAGCAGGAGGAGAAUGUGCUCGGCGAGGUAAUCCAAAGAGCCAAGGAACUUCGUGAUAAGGAGUUCAAUUCGCCAACUAAAAUGCAUCUCAGUUCUCCAGCUAAAAUACAUUAAUGAAGGAAGUUGAAUGCGUGUUGGGUUUGGGAGUUGUUGAAUACUGUUUCGACCCAUUUUAAUUGUAUUAGGUCUAAUCCGAAGGCCUUUACCCUUUCCUAAGUGUAUAGGUCCAACUUCCAAUUUGUCUCGAUUACGGCAACAAAAGAAAUGAAGCGGUCCAUCAAUUCCUUCCAUUUGAUUUGAAUAGUUAAGGUUUCACGGAUGAUUUAAGCUGUAAUCAAUCUUUCGAGGGGUCCGUUCAUGCUGGAUGACCAUGUGUUGCCACAAA